CAGGGAUUGCCCUAGUAACGGCGAGUGAAGCGGCAACAGCUCAAAUUUGAAAUCUGGCUUCGGCCCGAGUUGUAAUUUGCAGAGGAUGUUUCUGGCGCGGUGCCUUCCGAGUUCCCUGGAACGGGACGCCACAGAGGGUGAGAGCCCCGUAUGGUUGGACACCAAGCCUGUGUGAAACUCCUUCGACGAGUCGAGUAGUUUGGGAAUGCUGCUCAAAAUGGGAGGUAAAUCUCUUCUAAAGCUAAAUACCGGCCAGAGACCGAUAGCGCACAAGUAGAGUGAUCGAAAGAUGAAAAGCACCUUGAAAAGGGGGUUAAACAGUACGUGAAAUUGUUGAAAGGGAAGCACUUGUGACCAGACUUGUGCCGGGCGGUUCAUCCGGGGUUCUCCCCGGUGCACUCCGCCCGGUAUAGGCCAGCAUCGGUUCUCUCUGGGGGAUAAGAACGGUGGGAACGUGGCCCUCCCUCGGGAGGGUGUUAUAGCCCGCCGUACGAUAUCCUGGAGGGGACUGAGGUUCGCGCUCCGCAAGGAUGCUGGCGUAAUGGUCACCAGUGACCCGUCUU
rnacentral:rRNA from 1 species